rnacentral:rRNA from 1 species
CAUCUAAGUACCCCGAGGAAAAGAAAUCAACCGAGAUUCCCCCAGUAGCGGCGAGCGAACGGGGAGCAGCCCAGAGCCUGAAUCAGUGUGUGUGUUAGUGGAAGCGUCUGGAAAGGCGCGCGAUACAGGGUGACAGCCCCGUACACAAAAAUGCACAUGCUGUGAGCUCGAUGAGUAGGGCGGGACACGUGGUAUCCUGUCUGAAUAUGGGGGGACCAUCCUCCAAGGCUAAAUACUCCUGACUGACCGAUAGUGAACCAGUACCGUGAGGGAAAGGCGAAAAGAACCCCGGCGAGGGGAGUGAAAAAGAACCUGAAACCGUGUACGUACAAGCAGUGGGAGCACGCUUCGGCGUGUGACUGCGUACCUUUUGUAUAAUGGGUCAGCGACUUAUAUUCUGUAGCAAGGUUAACCGAAUAGGGGAGCCGAAGGGAAACCGAGUCUUAACUGGGCGUUAAGUUGCAGGGUAUAGACCCGAAACCCGGUGAUCUAGCCAUGGGCAGGUUGAAGGUUGGGUAACACUAACUGGAGGACCGAACCGACUAAUGUUGAAAAAUUAGCGGAUGACUUGUGGCUGGGGGUGAAAGGCCAAUCAAACCGGGAGAUAGCUGGUUCUCCCCGAAAGCUAUUUAGGUAGCGCCUCGUGAAUUCAUCUCCGGGGGUAGAGCACUGUUUCGGCAAGGGGGUCAUCCCGACUUACCAACCCGAUGCAAACUGCGAAUACCGGAGAAUGUUAUCACGGGAGACACACGGCGGGUGCUAACGUCCGUCGUGAAGAGGGAAACAACCCAGACCGCCAGCUAAGGUCCCAAAGUCAUGGUUAAGUGGGAAACGAUGUGGGAAGGCCCAGACAGCCAGGAUGUUGGCUUAGAAGCAGCCAUCAUUUAAAGAAAGCGUAAUAGCUCACUGGUCGAGUCGGCCUGCGCGGAAGAUGUAACGGGGCUAAACCAUG